rnacentral:misc_RNA from 1 species
CAGAGAACCUCGCCCUCGUGGGUGAAUCUCCAACCCUGUGUUAUAUUUACUCUGUUGCUUUGGCGAGCCGCUUUAGCCACCGGUCUACGCCGGUGAGUGCUCGCCAGGGAACCCUAAACUCUUAUUUUAUUAUUGUCUGAGCACUAUAAAAUAGUUA